rnacentral:pre_miRNA from 1 species
CAAUUACUCACUCCGUCCAACAAAAGAUGCCUCAGGUUUGUCAAAAUUAUGCCUCAGGUUUGUCAAAAUUUGAAUGUAUCUAGACAUGACUUAGUAUAUAGAUACAUUCAAAUUUAGUCAAAGCUGAGACAUCCUUUAUUGGACGGAGGGAGUACUAA